CAGCCCAGGUCGACCCAGUGAACCUUGAACCAAUACAUUUGUCAAAUACAUUAUCAGUCCAUUGAAGCUUCAGCUAAAGACUCCCAAUUAUCAAAGACAACAAGAGGAUCUACUAUUAUGACAUAAAAUAAGUGCCUCAUUGAGAUGCAUCAAUAAAUUCAGAGCCAAGUAUUGUGAGCAAAGCAAAAUUCAAUGUUCAGCAGUAUUUCUUUCUGUAUUCACAUACAAUUCAA
rnacentral:misc_RNA from 1 species